rnacentral:rRNA from 2 species
GGACUACCAGGGUAUCUAAUCCCGUUUGCUCCCCUGGCUUUCGCGCAUCAGCGUCAGAAAAGGACCAGCAAUCCGCUUUCGCCACCGGCGUUCCUGUCGAUAUCAACGCAUUUCACCGCUCCACCGACAGUUCCGAUUGCCCCUUCCUUCCUCGAGCCGCAGUGGUAUCGAGGGCAGUUCCCCAGUUAAGCUGGGGGAUUUCACCCGCGACCCGCUCGGCCGCCUACGCGCCCUUUAAGCCCAGUAAUUCCGAAUAACGUUUGGACGGUUCGUCUUACCGCGGCUGCUGGCAC